GACGAACGCUGGCGGCGUGCCUAAUACAUGCAAGUUGAGCGAUGAAGAUUGGUGCUUGCACCAAUUUGAAGAGCAGCGAACGGGUGAGUAACGCGUGGGGAAUCUGCCUUUGAGCGGGGGACAACAUUUGGAAACGAAUGCUAAUACCGCAUAACAACUUUAAACAUAAGUUUUAAGUUUGAAAGAUGCAAUUGCAUCACUCAAAGAUGAUCCCGCGUUGUAUUAGCUAGUUGGUGAGGUAAAGGCUCACCAAGGCGAUGAUACAUAGCCGACCUGAGAGGGUGAUCGGCCACAUUGGGACUGAGACACGGCCCAAACUCCUACGGGAGGCAGCAGUAGGGAAUCGUCGGCAAUGGACGAAAGUCUGACCGAGCAACGCCGCGGGAGUGAAGAAGGUUGUCGGAUCGUAAAACUCUGUUGGUAGAGAAGAACGUUGGUGAGAGUGGAAAGCUCAUCAAGUGACGGUAACUACCCAGAAAGGGACGGCUAACUACGUG
rnacentral:rRNA from 1 species